AUGCUUGUUGUAUGAAAAAUGUAUUAUAAUUUUAUUUUGCAAACAAUUUUAUAUAUGACUAUAUAUUUAUUUGAGUCCUAUUCUUUUCAGCAGAUGAUGAAAGAUCCUACAGGACGCCAGCCGAUAAAAUGACAGAGGAGGACAUCAUCAGCAGAUAGCGAUGAUGAAGGAUCUCAAGGACGACAGCCAAUAUAGUGAGAAACGAGGACAUCAUCAGCAGAUAGAGGAUGCAGAAUCCCCGAAAAUAGCAGGAUCCCAGAAGAUGACGGCUACACACGGCUGCACACAGCUUGGGACAUCAGCAGAUGAAAGUAUGUUUUGAUAGUAUGUAAUAAUAAUAUGUUUCUUCAGAUAGUACUAAAGCAAAUAACGUUUGAUAGAG